AUACUUACCUGGACGGGGUCUAUGAGUGAUCACGAAGGCUCAUGGCCUAGGUAGUUGACUUCUAUUGCACUAUAAGGAGGGGCAGCUUCUUAAGAUCUCCCUGAGUGGGAGAGUCUACGUCAUAAUUUGUGGUAGAGGAGGCCUGCGUUCGCGCGGCCUCUA